rnacentral:rRNA from 1 species
ACCCGCACAAGCAGCGGAGCAUGUGGUUUGAUUCGAAGCAACGCGAAGAACCUUACCAGAUCUUGACAUCCAAUUGACCAUCUUUUAAUCGAGAUUUUGCCUUCGGGUACAAUUGAGACAGGUGGUGCAUGGUUGUCGUCAGCUCGUGUCGUGAGAUGUUGGGUUAAGUCCCGCAACGAGCGCAACCCUUGUGUUUAGUUGCAAACAGGUCAAGCUGUGCACUCUAGACAGACUGCCGUGGACAACACGGAGGAAGGUGGGGAUGACGUCAAAUCAUCAUGCCCCUUAUGAUCUGGGCUACACACGUGCUACAAUGGCCGGUACAACGGGCAGCGAAGGAGCGAUCCGGAGCGAAUCCUAAAAAGCCGGUCCCAGUUCGGAUUGCAGGCUGAAACUCGCCUACAUGAAGUUGGAGUUGCUAGUAAUCGCGAGUCAGAAUGUCGCGGUGAAUGCGUUCCCGGGUCUU